AGAGAGAGACAUGCGCGCAUAUCAAUAAGCGGAGGAAAAGAAACUAACAAGGAUUCCCCUAGUAACGGCGAGUGAAGCGGGAAGAGCUCAAAUUUGAAAUCUUAAAGGGUUUCCCUUUACGAAUUGUAGUUUAAAGAAGUGCUUUUUGUUGAGGUUUUGGUAAAAGUUCUUUGGAAUAGGACAUCAUAGAGGGUGAGAAUCCCGUAUUUGACCUUUACUUUCAACUUUGUGAUACACUUUCAAAGAGUCGGAUUGUUUGGGAAUGCAGUCCAAAAUGGGUGGUAAAUUUCAUCUAAAGCUAAAUAUUGGCGAGAGACCGAUAGCGAACAAGUACCGUGAGGGAAAGAUGAAAAGAACUUUGAAAAGAGAGUUAAACAGUACGUGAAAUUGUCAAAAGGGAAGCGUUUGACACCAGUGUUGUUUUUCUGAAAAUCAAUUAAAGAACUGUUUAUGCUAAGUUGUUUAGACUUUAUCAGCUAACUGUUUAGUUUUGAGCUUUUCUUUAAUGCACUUUUCAGUUAACAAGUCAACAUCAAUUUCUUUUGCUGUAAAAAAGCUUGAGGAAGGUGGCUUGAGAUUCGUCUUAAGUGUUUAUAGCCUCUUGCCUAUGCAGUCGGAGAGAUUGAGGUCUGCAGCGUAGAUCCUUCGGGGCUAAAUGCAUUUGUGCUAAGUUAUAGCAUUUUAUAGACAACCUUGUUGACUAUGAUUUGUCUUGUAGCUUACUCGCUUAUGUUAUUUUACCUACGCUUAGGAUGUUGAGCGCAUGUCUCUCUCU
rnacentral:rRNA from 1 species